UACAGAGGUGGCAAGCGUUGUUCGGAAUUACUGGGCGUAAAGGGCGCGUAGGCGGCCUUCUAAGUCAGACGUGAAAUCCCCCGGCUUAACCUGGGAACUGCGUCUGAUACUGGGAGGCUAGAGUGCGGGAGAGGGAUGCGGAAUUCCAGGUGUAGCGGUGAAAUGCGUAGAUAUCAAGAGGAACACCUGCGGCGAAGGCGGGUUGCUGGGCCGACACUGACGCUGAGGCGCGAAAGCUAGGGGAGCGAACGGG
rnacentral:rRNA from 1 species